GCCGCUAUGGGGAAAUGGGAGACCGC
rnacentral:tRNA from 1 species